rnacentral:rRNA from 1 species
GACGAACGCUGGCGGCGUGCUUAACACAUGCAAGUCGAACGGAAAGGCCCUGCUUGCAGGGUACUCGAGUGGCGAACGGGUGAGUAACACGUGGGUGAUCUGCCCUGCACUUCGGGAUAAGCCUGGGAAACUGGGUCUAAUACCGGAUAGGAGCCAUUUUUAGUGUGAUGGUUGGAAAGUUUUUUCGGUGUAGGAUGAGCUCGCGGCCUAUCAGCUUGUUGGUGGGGUAAUGGCCUACCAAGGCGGCGACGGGUAGCCGGCCUGGGAGGGUGGACGGCCACAUUGGGACUGAGGUACGGCCCAGACUCCUACGGGAGGCAGCAGUGGGGAAUAUUGCACAAUGGGCGCAAGCCUGAUGCAGCGACGCCGCGUGGGGGAAGACGGCCUUCGGGUUGUAAACUCCUUUCGCUAGGGACGAAGCUUUUUGUGACGGUACCUAGAUAAGAAGCACCGGCUAACUACGUG